rnacentral:rRNA from 1 species
GAAGAGCAACUAACGAGGAUUCCCCCAGUAACGGCGAGCGAAGCGGGAAGAGUUCGAGCAGGCAAUCUCUGGCGCUCCGUCGCCAGCGAAUUGUGGCCGGUCGAGGCGACUGCACCCGAGGCGCCACCGCCCAAGUUGGCCUGGAAAGGCACGUCGGAGAGGGUGAUAGCCCCGUGCGUGGCGGGGGCGUCCGAGGGCCGCUACCGUCUUCCGAGAGUCGGGUUGUUUGAGAUUGCAGCCCAAAGUGGGUGGUAAACUCCAUCUAAAGCCGAACAAGGGCACGAGACCGAUAGCGAACAAGUACCGUGAGGGAAAGGUGAAAAGCACUUUGGAAAGAGAGUUAAAGAGACCGCGAAACCGUUAGGAGGGAAACGCAUGCAGCCGAACGGGCCCUCGUCGGGUUCAGGGGUCGGCGUGGCGCCGUCCGUCGCGUGCCGGGCACUCUCGCGAGGCCCGCCGCGCGGUCGAUCGCCUCGCACCCCCGCACUCCCGACGGUCGUGGGCCGGCCAAGCGCGGUGGCGUGACGGCGCAGAGGAGGGCCGACGGGCAGGUAGUGCAGCCGGUCGUCGGUUUCGGCCGUAGGCGAACUUACAGCCGUCGGUCCGGCCUGCGCCGCUCCACCGAGGAGAGCGGUGGCCCGUUUCCACCCCAGCAGCACGGGCCUCCCUCGGCCGAGGGAGGCCGGAGCGCUUCUGUUCGUUCGGCCUCCGCGCCGCGAGACUGC